GAUGAACGCUGGCGGCGUGCCUAAUACAUGCAAGUCGAGCGAACAGACGAGGAGCUUGCUCCUCUGACGUUAGCGGCGGACGGGUGAGUAACACGUGGAUAACCUACCUAUAAGACUGGGAUAACUUCGUGAAACCGGAGCUAAUACCGGAUAAUAUAUUGAACCGCAUGGUUCAAUAGUGAAAGACGGUUUUGCUGUCACUUCUAGAUGUAUCCGCGCCGCAUUAGCUAGUUGGUAAGGUAACGGCUUACCAAGGCAACGAUGCGUAGCCGACCUGAGAGGGGGAUCGGCCACACUGGAACUGAGACACGGUCCAGACUCCUACGGGAGGCAGCAGUAGGGAAUCUGCCGCAAUGGGCGAAAGCCUGACGGAGCAACGCCGCGUGAGUGAUGAAGGUCUUCGGAUCGUAAAAAUCUGUUAUGAGGGAAGAACAAAUGUGUAAGUAAAUAUGCACGUAUUGACGGUACCUAAACAGAAAGCCACGGCUAACUACGUG
rnacentral:rRNA from 1 species